AAAAAAGGUAAGCUACUAAGAGCGAAUGGUGGAUGCCUUGACUGGUAAAGGCGAUGAAGGACGUACUAGACUGCGAUAAGCUACGGGGAGCUGUCAAGAAGCUUUGAUCCGUAGAUUUCCGAAUGGGGCAACCCAAUGUAUAGAGAUAUACAUUACCUAUAUAGGAGCGAACGAGGGGAAUUGAAACAUCUUAGUACCCUCAGGAAAAGAAAUCAAUAGAGAUUGCGUCAGUAGCGGCGAGCGAAAGCGCAAGAGGGCAAACCCAGUGCUUGCACUGGGGGUUGUAGGACUGCAAUGUGCAAGAGGUAAGUUUAGCAGAACAUUCUGGAAAGUAUAACCAUAGAGGGUGAUAGUCCCGUAUGCGAAAAACAAACCUUAGCUAGCAGUAUCCUGAGUAGGGCGGGACACGAGGAAUCCUGUCUGAAUCCGGGUCGACCACGAUCCAACCCUAAAUACUAAUACCAGAUCGAUAGUGCACAAGUACCGUGAGGGAAAGGUGAAAAGAACUGAGGUGAUCAGAGUGAAAUAGAACCUGAAACCAUUUGCUUACAAUCAUUCAGAGCCCUAUGUAGCAAUACAGGGUGAUGGACUGCCUUUUGCAUAAUGAGCCUGCGAGUUGUGGUGUCUGGCAAGGUUAAGCAAACGCGAAGCCGUAGCGAAAGCGAGUCUGAAUAGGGCGCUUAGUCAGAUGCUGCAGACCCGAAACGAAGUGAUCUAUCCAUGAGCAAGUUGAAGCUAGUGUAAGAACUAGUGGAGGACUGAACCCAUAGGCGUUGAAAAGCCCCGGGAUGACUUGUGGAUAGGGGUGAAAGGCCAAUCAAACUUCGUGAUAGCUGGUUCUCUCCGAAAUAUAUUUAGGUAUAGCGUUGUGUCGUAAUAUAAGGGGGUAGAGCACUGAAUGGGCUAGGGCAUACACCAAUGUACCAAACCCUAUCAAACUCCGAAUACCUUAUAUGUAAUCACAGCAGUCAGGCGGCGAGUGAUAAAAUCCGUCGUCAAGAGGGAAACAACCCAGACUACCAGCUAAGGUCCCUAAAUCUUACUUAAGUGGAAAACGAUGUGAAGUUACUUAAACAACCAGGAGGUUGGCUUAGAAGCAGCCAUCCUUUAAAGAAAGCGUAAUAGCUCACUGGUCUAGUGAUUUUGCGCGGAAAAUAUAACGGGGCUAAAGUAAGUACCGAAGCUGUAGACUUGCACACAACUUAGAUUAUUUAAGUUUAGAAUAUGAGAAACUAAGUUAUAUGUUUAGUUAUAUUUUUACUGGUUUUUAUAGAGUAAAGAUAGAAAUAAAACUUAGUAAAAUCAGUAAAAAUAUUCUUAGACUAAAGUUAAGUAGUUUAAGUUGUGUGCAAGUGGUAGGAGAGCGUUCUAUU
rnacentral:rRNA from 1 species